CGUUUUACUGAUGUCCAAUGAAAGUGACGUAGCCAAUCCUUAUAAAAACGUCGUCGCCAGGUUAUGACGUACUUCACUGAGACGAUUCGUUGAUUGUCGCCUCCUGUUCUCGACAUGAGAGCUAAGUGGAGGAAAAAGCGCAUGCGCAGGCUGAAGCGUAAGAGGCGAAAGAUGAGGCAGAGGUCCAAGUAAGCUGUCCUCCCCGCCAUGGCCGUGACGGCACAUGGUGCCCACAGCCAGACCGGGGAGCCCCGCUCCAGAUCCAGGACCCUCCCGAUGUCAAGUCUGUCAGUGGUACCCAUCUCAACGCGAGGCAGCGGCGCUGCAGCGGCUGAUCCAAGACCUGCUGGACGACAGGCUUUUCCUCGGACAUUCUGGAAUCUUUAAUUCCUCAACUUUUGUAAACUGUGAUUAAAGGUUUUGGUUUCUAAA